AGUCUUAUAGUCUAAAUAAAGAUUUAAAAUUGCAAAUUUUAAUAUAUAAUAAAUAAUUAUUAAGACUU
rnacentral:tRNA from 1 species